UACAUAGGGUGCAAGCGUUAUCCGGAAUUAUUGGGCGUAAAGCGUUCGUAGGCGGUUUAUUAAGUCUGAAGUUAAAGCCCGGGGCUCAACCCCGGCCCGCUUUGGAUACUGAUAGACUAGAGUUAUAUAGAGGUAAGUGGAACUCCAUGUGAAGCGGUGGAAUGCGUAGAUAUAUGGAAGAACACCAAUGGCGAAGGCAACUUACUGGAUAUACACUGACGCUGAGGAACGAAAGCGUGGGGAGCAAACAGG
rnacentral:rRNA from 1 species